rnacentral:lncRNA from 1 species
UCACACCCCCGCAGUCGAAGCGGGAGGUUCACGGACGCUUAGACUGGUCCAAAAAUCAUCAAAGAGAAUGCGAGGAAGCCCUUUGAUGAAGAUAUCUGCAAUCUGAUGUCGAGAAGGAACAUGAAGUACGCGUGCCUCACCACGAGCUACUUUUUCCCGUACAAAGUGAAUGUCCAUUUCAAUAUGCUUGGUACGUUGAUGUUGCACA